rnacentral:lncRNA from 1 species
AUGAGCACAACAGCGCUGUCUGUAAGAAGCGCGGAGCCCCCGGGGCCGGGCGCUGCGUCCUCGGGGGCUCAGGUUCAGCGGGCUCCAGCCUUGCAGUCUUCAGCCGCCUUCUCGAAGCUCCGGGUUCCCGGCCCGGGAGACCCCAGCGCGGCCCUCGGGCGCCCCCUGCCGGUCGCCAGGCCCGCAGCCGCAAGGACCCGCGAGGCCGCGUUCUGCUUAAGCCCGGGCGCCGCCCGGGGCACCUCCGCCCGCGGCCCCUGGACACAAAAGGCGCUCGCCAGGCCAGUGGGCGGCGAGGGUCAGUGGUCAAGGGAGGAGGGCCUCCGGCGUCCUGCCCUCGCCUGCUCGGCCUUGGCGGGGAAACCAGUCGUCUCCCCCGCAGGAGCAGCCCGCACGCCCGGGCACGGGGCAGCGCGCUCCUCGGUGCUGCUCGCGGCCCUGAAAGGCACAGAAGAGAGUUCAGAGCGGUGGUGGCGGCGGGUUCGCUCCCUCCCCCUGCCCGUCUCGCGCUCACCUGUCCGCCCCGUCGCGUUCUUCCCUCUCCCCUCGGGGGCUCUCCGGGAGAACUGCCGGGCAGGUGCAGGUUUCAUAACCGUCGUCCAGCUGGAAGAGCCCCGAGAUCUGGAAGGGGGCGGGCGAGGCACCCUCAGAGUCAGCAGUGGGGGCGGGGAAGGGGCCCCAGCGUGUCCCCCACCCCCAGCUCUCCCACCGGGACCAUUGGGGUCCCAGCAGGAGCGCCUCAUUACUAAAACCAGAAGCAGAAGCUUCGCUAAGGAGAUGAUUGGGGCCUGCGGGGUGGGAUGGGGGCCUAGAGCCACUCGGGGUGCCGUGAGGAGGCGGGUCCUCACGGCGCUAGCCCCCGCGAGGAGGAGGAGGGGCAUGCAGGAGAGGCAGGGAGGCGGGGAGGAGUCUUACACUCAGAGCGCUGUUGUCCUUUGCCAGGACUUGGGCACCUUCACCACCGUCCCCGCUUUCCAUGGAGAUGGACUCCCCGCUGCAGCAGCCUUGGGAACAGAAAGGGGCAGACGUGGGUUUGCUGUGGGGGUUGGGGCAUGGCCCCUCGGUCCGUGCCCACCCCGGGAGCCGGGCCUCCCCAGCCCUCACACCUGUCACUCAUCAGCUCGCUGCUUGCUCCUGGCCGGUGAUUGCCCUAAAGAGAAGAUCGGGGCAGCCUGGGGUGUGCAGGCUGGGAGGCGCCCCAGCCCCUGCUCUGGGGGAAGGGAGUCUCGGCCCUGUGGGGAGGGGCGGGGUACCGUCCUGGCCAGGAGGGGCCCUCAGGCGUCUGACUGCACCGAAGGCCAUUCCCUGGAGCAGGCAAGGGUCUGCGAGGGCCUGUAG